rnacentral:misc_RNA from 1 species
AUUUUAGUUAGGUUUAAGUCUGACGAGAAUAAUAUUCUACCACUAGUAAUUCAUUUAUUUUCAAGCCAACCCAUUUACUAUCUAUUAUUUGAUUGACCAAUCCUUUAUAUUGGAAUGGGUGAAGAGUCAAAUGUUUUGGCAAUUCCUCCUGGGGGGAUGAAUCAAGAUAAUUUUUAAUCAUAGCUCUAGAUUUUUGUUCAGC